GGUCACGUAGCCAAGUGGUCCAAGGCGGCAGUUUGCAAAACUGUUAUUCGUGGGUUCGACUCCCACCGUGACCUCCA
rnacentral:tRNA from 3 species